ACUGUUACGUGCGCAUCUUAGUGUGAAUGUGAAAUGGUGCGAUUGCGUGUUGAAAGAAAGAAAGAACCAAAAUGGAGGAAUAUGAACAAGAAAGUGUUUUCAGUAUUAAUAAAGAGUAAAGUAUUUAUAAACUGUGAUUUGUCGUUUUCAUGUCUAAAGAGUCUCAUCCAAUAUGAAGACGUAACAAGUGGCGCCCAACGCAAAGGUAACCCACGUAUCCCUCUAUUCACAGGGGAUCUCCUGUCAACAGACAGUAGAGAUAGUAUAGUCUAGAUCUAGAGACAGGAGAACAUUCGAUUCGAUAUUAUUAGUAAUCAACUAUGGCGGACAAGGCUGAGGUAGCAGCGUUGAAAGAAGAGGGAAGGUUGUUGGAGCUGGAAGGGGCAGAACUAAGAAAAUACGUACAAGAAAGGUUAAUGGAGAGGGAGAGAUUAGCGAUGGAAAGAGACAAAGAAAAGGAGAGAUUAGCGAUGGAAAGAGACAAAGAAAAGGAGAGAUUAGCGAUGGAAAGAGACAAAGAAAAGGAGAGAUUAGCGAUGGAAAGAGACAAAGAAAAAGAGAGAUUAGCGAUGGAAAGAGACAAAGAAAAGGAGAGAUUAGAUAAGGAGGACAAAAGAGAAAGGGAAAAAGAAAAGGAGAGAUUAGCGAUGGAAAGAGACAAAGAAAAGGAGAGAUUAGCGAUGGAAAGAGACAAAGAAAAGGAGAGAUUAGAUAAGGAGGACAAAAGAGAAAGAGAAAAGGAUAAGGAGAUAGUAGCAAUUGAAAGGGAAAAGAAAAAUGAAUUGGUCGCCAUUGAAAGAGAAAGAUUAGCAUUUGAAAAAGAGACAGCAGAGAAAAAGUUAAAAACAGACCAAGGAAAAGAGAAUGAUAAAAGAAAGAGUGACUCUACAGGGAAUAAACUGGCAAAAUAUAAAGGUUUGAUAUUCAACGAAGACAAAAUGGACAUAGACAUUUUUUUGAAGAAGUUCGAGAUAGAAAUGAGAGAACUGGAGUACCCUGAAGACAAAUGGACAUUCUUAUUGUCGAGAUCAUUUACAGCGGAGGUGCCUUCAAAAAUAUGUAUGAACCAGGGUAACUACAGCGUUGUGAAAGAACAACUACUUAGAACUUUCGGGAAAACAGAAGCUUUCUAUCGCCAACAGUUUGUUAAUUGUGAGAUAGAACCAGAGGAUGACCCGCAGACCUUCUUGGACAAAAUGAGCAGCCAUUUCGAUAACUGGAUAGAAACCGCUGAGGUAGAAAAAACCUUUGACAGUCUUAAGACAUUUCUCAUGCUGGACAAAGUGAUGUACGAGUGUCAGGAGGAAUUAAAAAUAUUUCUGUUGGAGAGGAAACCGAAAUCCAUAGAAGACAUAGUAAGACUGAUAAGGGCUUAUAAAGUGGCACAUCCCGAGAAGAAAUUAUCUAGAGGCAGUGAUAUAGAAGAAAUAGUUGCCUUUAACAGAACAUGUGAGACACAGAAUAACUCUCACAGAACAAGGGAGACACAGGAUAGACAGUAUAGAAGUGGUACAUAUGAAAGACAAAAUGAUAGCCGCAACGGAAGAUAUCAAGGAAACAGACAGGAAAGAAAGGACUGGGAGAAAGGUAGAAUAGAGCAAGGCUUAUCAUUGUCAUCUGAUACUGGAACAUUGGAGAUUUUUCAGACAUUCGUAGGGAACAAGGCAGCCAAGACCAUCAGGGAUACUGGGAGCACUAUUAUUGGAGUGAAUAAGAAUUUAGUGGAAGACCAUGAAUAUACAGGCGAAUCUAGGAAGUGUGUUAUGUUUAAUGGGAAUAUUGUACAAUUACCGAUUGCUAAAGUUAGUAUAGACACACCGUAUGUUAAGGGGACAGUGGAAGCUUGUGUUGUAGAUCAGGGUGAGAUAGAUUUAAUUAUUGGGAAUAUUCAUGGGGUGAAAAUAUGUUCAGUAAGGGAGAUUGAGAAUUGGAAGAAAUAUUAUGGGAUAAAGUCUACGCGAGGUAGAAAUGGGGAUGUGGAAGAAGACAUAAGAUCUCAUACAUCAGAUGACAUGGGUAGCAGAGAGCACGAGAAGAAAGAAUUAACAGAUAAGGUAGAAAGCAAUGCAAUAGGAAUGGGUCCAAAUCAAAGUAAAGUAAGGCAAUCAGUGGUACAGGGAAAGCGAUAUAAGCCCACAUACAGACGUACAAAUCCAUACAUCUUAUGCUUUAAUUGUGGGAAAAGGGGGCAUAUUAGAAGACAGUGUCAACAGUUAAUUAGAAUUAAGGAUUCAAGGUACAAUAGUGAAGAGGCGUAUACGAGAAAAGAGAGGGAUAUUAGCAGCCUAGAAAACAGUACAGCUAGAUCAUUAGGUAGUAGAAUCACAAUGGGACAUCAUUGCAAAGGAGGGAAGCGGAAAGGAUGGCAUGUCAAUAAUGUUAGAAUUAUAUAGAUAUGAUUAGAAAAGGUAGGAAUGAUGGACAUUAUUUAUUGUUCUAUUCUACAAUGAAUAAAUAUAUGUGUAAUGAAUUGAAUAUUGUUGUUACAAUAUGCAUGGAGCAAGAUAGACUUUGUUUGUUAACUAUUUGAUUACGACUGGAAUGAUGGUGUUUAAUACAGGCAUACAAUUAUGAGUGGGGAGUUGUAUUGAUAGAAAUAUGAUUACUUAUAGAUAAAUGUUAACAGAAGUGGUUUCAAUUGCUCAUAAUAACAGUUAUUAUUGUGAUGAAUAUAAUUGUUAUUUCAUGUUGGGAUUGUAUUGGUAUUAACAUGACAUUGUGUUUGAUUUUGUUUAGUUAUUACAUUAUGGUUUUAUAUGUUACCGAUUUUUUUAACUUGGAAUAGUCUGAUAAUAUAUUCAGUGAUUUGUAUUUUGGACGUUCGAUGUGCAUCGAACUUGUUAAACAGGGGGGGUGUUACGUGCGCAUCUUAGUGUGAAUGUGAAAUGGUGCGAUUGCGUGUUGAAAGAAAGAAAGAACCAAAAUGGAGGAAUAUGAACAAGAAAGUGUUUUCAGUAUUAAUAAAGAGUAACCUAAGUACACAGAGACAGAGAGAGAGAAAGAGAGAGAGAGAGAGGUGUAGGAGGAGUACCAAGCAGUGGUGUGAUCUGACAUUCUCCCAUCACUACUCAUCCUUGGCUGUGUGAAAAAACACUGUGUGUAACGAAAUUUGGCAUCUCAUUCUUAGGUAUUGGUUCAAUCUGUGCUGACCAAGCUUAACAGUCA